rnacentral:rRNA from 1 species
AGCGAACGCUGGCGGCAUGCCUAACACAUGCAAGUCGAGCGCUCCCAGCAAUGGGGGAGCGGCGGACGGGUGAGUAACGCGUAGGAACGUAUCCUGAGGUGGGGGAUAACCCUGGGAAACUAGGGCUAAUACCGCAUGAUGGCGAGAGCCCAAAGAUUUAUCGCCUUGGGAGCGGCCUGCGUCUGAUUAGCUUGUUGGUGGGGUAACGGCCUACCAAGGCGAUGAUCAGUAGCUGGUCUGAGAGGAUGAUCAGCCACACUGGGACUGAGACACGGCCCAGACUCCUACGGGAGGCAGCAGUGGGGAAUAUUGGACAAUGGGCGAAAGCCUGAUCCAGCAAUGCCGCGUGGAUGAAGAAGGUCUUCGGAUUGUAAAGUCCUUUCGCGGGGACGAUGAUGACGGUACCCGCAGAAGAAGCCCGGCUAACUUCGUGCCAGCAGCCGCGGUAAGUCGUGUGACA